GGCGUGAUAGCUCAGUUGGUAGAGCAACGGAUUGAAAAUCCGUGUGUCC
rnacentral:tRNA from 1 species